CGCUGGAAGAAAUCCUGAGCAUUUCGGGGGCUGCAGUGAAGCACUUAAGCAGAAAUCAGCUGCACAACGAGCCAAUCGACCUACCUACCUACAAACUGCUUCCGCCCACGUGAACCGGUGGGAGCCCUCUUCUACCGUCACAACGCGUUACCGGGAUCACUAUGUGAUGCAAACCUUCGUCAGCGUCACCGAGCAAACACUCAAGGAGAUACAAUGAUAUUGGUCUACUAGUAUACUACGGCAUCACAAGUACAAUCGACAAGCCCAUCGUUAACCAUAUAUGUGGAGACCGUAUGGCUAAACUCCGCAAUAGAGGUAUUUCAUCGUCUCUUUCAACUAUACACAGCGCUCUUGGACACAGCCGUGAUCGACGAAUGGAGACUUAUAAAAGCUGUAGAAUAUAAAACCUCUAGACCAUUAAAAAACCCCAUAAGAUACGAGCAGCUGUUCAUUGGCGUUCGGGCGAUGUCCCGCUAGUUCGUUUACAUUUACUGACCGGUGUGACGAUCUACGAUUGUCGUCUGGGAUCUAUUCUCCAUUGCAGGCAUCGUCCCGAUAGCGAAUAUAGCUAUCAUCCCGUUCGCUUGAUUGGCAGACCAAACAAGCUCACAAAUUAAAUUAGAAACAAAAUUGCCUGCUUGUUCGAAUCACAAUUUUUGGGUUGAAAAAGCCAAAAUAAAAACAAAUUAUUAUGCAACGAUGCACGCCCGUUUUGUUAACUAAAUAAGUUGGCUCUUCGUGCCAAGUUGAAAGCUGCCGGCGCUCCGGCGAUGAUGGAAACGUCAUCGUGGAGGCUGGCGGAGGUGUUAUUCCAGUCAGAAAGGGGUUCUUGGUUCGUCCACAUGAAAUGAUAAGAAGAUAGCGCACGUCACCGAAACCGCUACAUCUGGUUAGAAACUUCUGUCCGUCGUUAGUGUGAUCAGUCAA